UUUCUCUCCCACUUUCACUCUCUUUAUUUCUCUUACGGUCCUUGACUUGCCCGUCAAAAUACAAACAGUGGUGGGACCUUUUUCUUGACCAAUAGCCUUAGCCUCCUAACAUGGUGUUCAAUGUACAGGUGAUAUCCAGGUAGAGAGAAAGUGGCGGGAAUUUUGUUGGCGUGUUUUUUGAGGUAACAUAUUUGCGCCGUACAUGGGAAAUUGAUACAUUUACAAUAUUCAGUUGAUACAAAAGGGAACAUUCAAACAUAAAUGAAUGGAGUGUGAUUUUCUAGGAAGAUGGAAUUAGAAGCAAGGGCGGAUGCAUAUGGGUCAAGUGAUCCCACAAAUUUCUUACGUCGUAAUUUUUUCACAAUUCUAGAUGCUGACCUUUCCCUCUCCUCUUCAGGUUUACAAGACACGACCAAUUCAAAAAAAAGAACCAAAUAAAAAUCCUUCUUCUCUAAUCUCUAUUCCUUACCUAGGGUUUGCCAAAUCUCUCCUCUCCCUUUCAUCUCACAGAUAUUGUGCACCACUAUACCUCGCUUCAUCUCAUCAACUUGACCUCAGGUAACAUUUAACUAUUCUAGAAUAUUUCAUAUAUAUAAAAAAUAAUGAUAAUAAAAAAAUAAAAAAAUCUGCUAUAAAAUAAUUAAGAAACAUAUAAUUUAUUUCCUUAUUCCCAUCUAGAAGUUGGUUAUAAAUUUGUUGAGUGGUGAUAACGAACAUGCCUACUUUAAUAGAAAUUUUUAUGUUGCUGUUUUUGAUAUGUGCGUUGUUUGUGCAUAUUGGCCUAAUCUAUGUGCGUUGUUUGUGUUGUUUGUGUAUUGUGGCCUAAUCUAUGUGUGAUGCUUGUGUAUUUUGGCCUAAUUUCAAUUAGAUGACCGUACACUAAAAUCGUUUGUUUUAUUUUUGACUAAUUAGGUUAUAAUUUGAUAUUUUCAAGAUAAAAAUGUUGAGGCUUGGAUCGAGACUCUAUUCAUAAAGUGAAUAGAAAGUGGGUUGUGAAUUUUGGAAGAAAAGCUAUCACUCUGUUACAUGCUGCAUAUCAUUAUUGCAAGAAGAAAUGCAACGUUCAUGGAGCUUGGGAGAUUAAUGAUGAAGAACUAAGUCAGCUGACAGUCUACAACACAACGCAGAAUUCUGAACCAUUGCUAUGGCCAUCAUGCCCAAAGUUUGCAUGCACUAGAAAUGAAUGUAGCAUAUCAAAAUCUGUAUGGAAGUUGUUAUACCUAUAACAUUACAUGACAUAAAUAUGACCGAAGGGUCCCACAUAUGCCAAUGUGGCAUCCACAUUCAAUUGAUUGGGCCUAUUUAAUAAAGCAAUUGUAUCUUGGGUUUGGACUUGAC
rnacentral:lncRNA from 1 species